UUAACUCAAUUAUUAUUCACAUGUCCUAUACUAACACCCUCUCUUCAGUCUUGCUGGGUCAUAUCUCCUUCAUGAGGACAAUACCUUCGGUUGUUAGGAGUCCGAUCGGCUGCCCAACUGACACUUUGAAGACUUUUCCCGGAAAAACCAAUCCACCCUCAACAAAAGCCUAAUGCUACUAAAGAAAAACCAGUUCUGUCAGCAAUAGCCAUUCAACAUAACAACAAGAUGAAGCCAUUUUUUAUUUCUUCCUUGAAAGAAUGCAUUCCUGGUGGAAAAUUAUGAAAGAUAACAGCAGAUUAAACAAGGUACCUAUGUUACUUGGAAUCGAGAGUAUAUCGGAUAUGAAUAAUAUCUACUCCAAUACGAGCAUGUUUAACUUUUUUCGAGCUUUUCCUUGUAUAUUCUCAUACUUGUGUUUGGAUUCGAGUUUACCUCACACAUACGAAGUAAAUCCAUUGACAGAAAAGGAACUUUUCAUGUUUCUAAUCAGUAUUGAAAUAUGACCUUAAGAUGUAGGCUAGUCUUUUAUGAACUUUUUUCCCACAACAUAAUAAUGAUAUACAACAUAAAAUUACAAUAAAUUUUUUUAUUGAAAUGAAGAAAAUCUUAAAUUAUUCUAAAGAGAAAAAUUAAAUCUGUUACAUUGAAAAAAAAAUGGGAACCAAAGCUCAAAAAAGCAAUAACAAGAUGAUCCACAGCAACAAUGCUAUAGCAGAGGGAUUUUUUUUUUUAACUUUGUAUGCUGUAGGGUAUAAACAGUUUGUGGUGCAAAUUACAUAUAAUUUUGCAAACCAAGAACUGAAAAAAAAAAAGAGAAGAAAAUGUUCUGAAAAUCAACAACAAAAAGACUUAAUCAAGCCCAGAAUUGAAAAAUCCAGAAAAGAUUCAAACACUUACAAUUACAAUAUUUUAACAAUGCCCUUUUCCAUUGCAUUGUUCUUUGUUCACCAGCUAGAUACUGCUCUUGUCAAUGGAAUUCAUCACUUUUGACCAUCAAAGUAUACGUAUUUUUAGCCAUCAAUGCAUUGUAAGCCUCUGCAAACCCAUAACC
rnacentral:lncRNA from 1 species